rnacentral:lncRNA from 1 species
GUGUGUGUUUGAGAAAGAGAGAGAGGCAUGCAGAUUGGUACUGAGAGGGAGGAGAGAGAGAUCAGGGCAGAAGAGGAAGAAGAGACCCCGCAGAUUGCGGGGUUCGGGCGAGAGAGGCAUGACAUACGGACCGUAGAGAAACCCACCACAUUGACCCUCACAGUGCGCCUUGAGGAGAAAAACAAGCAGCGCGUCACAUCUAGAAGAUCCCUGCUGCGCGAGCACAACUGUCGCGGUGCAGAUCGAACGUCGACCACCACCCAACUAUUCUCCUCGUGCAUCUCCCGUUAGCAGUUCUCUCUGGACGGACCGGCUCUGCCUGGCUGUGUGGAGCCAUGCCACCAUGCCGUUACCGAAUCGGUGCCCUGCCAGCGCUGCUCUGUCUCUGUAUCGGUAUGAUUUGGACCGGCGUCGCGGCAGAAACACAAGCUGAGAUCGACACCACACCUCCACCUUCCUCCCCCUCCCCCUCUCCAGCCAUAGGGAACACAGACAGAAACUUACCCAGGGGGAGAGGGCCCGAGGCUGGGUUAGGGCCCAGGGUGGGAAGAGGGCCCGAGGCUGGGUUAGGGCCCGGGGUGGGGAUGAGUGCCGCUGGUGAUCUGCUAGAGUCAGUCCUGGCUCAGAAGGAUCAUCUCUUCUCCCAGACAGGGGGAAUGGUCCUGCCCUCAGCUCUGCCCCAGGACCUGCUGCCUCUCCUGGGGAGAGAAAUGAGCACAGGGGGCCUGUCUGGAGGUCUAUCUCUGGAUCAACAGGGUCUGUUGAAGAGGAUACAACCCCCAGUUUCACAACCCCACGACAGCGGAUCACCCCUCCCUUCACAGCUCUCCCAGCCCGACAGCAACCCCCUCACCUCCUCCUCUCAGCCCGUGAUGCACACACUGCCGGGACAGCGAGAUGAGGUCACCACUAUCGUCACGGCGACCGUGGACGCAGACACAGACAUGGAUGCAGAAACACCUUCACCGGGUAUAAGUGGUAUACAUUAGACCAGGGGUCUUUUCGUUCUGAACAGAAACAUACUUUUUUUAGUUCCGUCCAGCAAAAUAAAGUUCCUAACUAUCGUUCCUUUCUGUUCAUUUUUGAACCUCUGAAAUCCUUAUUUAAAAAAUAAUAAAAAAAUUGCUCAUUAAAUUAAAUUAAACUUCACCAAUCAGUGCGGGUACACCCUGUAUAUAGCUCCACAUUGAUCUGGUA